AUUUAGUAGACAGAAGCCUCGGCGGAAGAUUACUAAUGAGAGUGGCGAACGGGUGAGUAACGCGUGAGCAACCUGCCUAUGACAGCGGGAUAGCCUCGGGAAACCGGGAUUAAUACCGCAUAAAAUCGUAGAAACACAUGUUUCAACGGUCAAAGAUUUAUCGGUCAUAGAUGGGCUCGCGUCUGAUUAGCUAGUUGGUGAGAUAACAGCCCACCAAGGCGACGAUCAGUAGCCGGUCUGAGAGGAUGAACGGCCACAUUGGAACUGAGACACGGUCCAAACUCCUACGGGAGGCAGCAGUGGGGAAUAUUGCACAAUGGGGGAAACCCUGAUGCAGCGACGCCGCGUGAACGAAGAAGGUAUUCGUAUCGUAAAGUUCUGUCCUAUGGGAAGAUAAUGACAGUACCAUAGAAGAAAGCUCCGGCUAAAUACGUGCCAGCAGCCGCGGUAAUACGUAUGGAGCGAGCGUUGUCCGGAAUUAUUGGGCGUAAAGGGUACGCAGGCGGUUUAAUAAGUCGAAUGUUAAAGAUCGGGGCUCAACCCCGUAAAGCAUUGGAAACUGAUAAACUUGAGUAGUGGAGAGGAAAGUGGAAUUCCUAGUGUAGUGGUGAAAUACGUAGAUAUUAGGAGGAAUACCAGUAGCGAAGGCGACUUUCUGGACACAAACUGACGCUGAGGUACGAAAGCGUGGGGAGCAAACAGGAUUAG
rnacentral:rRNA from 2 species